rnacentral:miRNA from 1 species
CACUAAUUCCCCACUGUCACAUUAAGCGCAGCCACACUUAUUAUAAUAUAAUAAGUGUGGCUGCGCUUAAUGUGACAGCGGGGAAUUACGGUU